rnacentral:rRNA from 1 species
CUUAAGUGGCGGACGGGUGAGUAACGCGUGGGGAACCUGCCUUGCACCGGGGGAUAACACUUAGAAAUAGGUGCUAAUACCGCAUAAGCGCACAGAGCCGCAUGGCUCGGUGUGAAAAACUCCGGUGGUGCAAGAUGGACCCGCGUCUGAUUAGCUGGUUGGCGGGGUAACGGCCCACCAAGGCGACGAUCAGUGGCCGGCCUGAGAGGGUGAACGGCCACAUUGGGACUGAGACACGGCCCAAACUCCUACGGAAGGCAGCAG